GAAGCUGAGGCGGCAGCAACAGAUCGAACGAGAGCUCAAUGGGUACAUGGAGUGGAUCUCGAAAGCAGAAGAGGUGAUCCUCGCCGAGGAUGAAACUGACGGGGAGCAGAGGCAUCCCUUUGAUGCUCUGCGGAGAGCCACCAUAAAGAAGAGCAAGACAGACCUGCUCAACCCCGAGGAGGCGGAGGAUCAGCUCGCCGACAUCGCCUC